GUCCACGCAGUAAACGAUGAGUGCUAGAUGUUAGAACUAUGUUUUAGCGUCGAAGCUAACGCAUUAAGCACUCCGCCUGGGAACUACGAUCGCAAGGUUAAAACUCAAAGGAAUUGACGGGGACCCGCACAAGCGGUGGAACAUGUGGUUUAAUUCGAUGCUACGCGAAAAACCUUACCAAGUCUUGACAUGUUAGUCGUAUAGCUAAGAAACUAGCUAGUCAGUUCGGCUGGACUAUCACAGGUGUUGCAUGGCU
rnacentral:rRNA from 1 species